ensembl:lncRNA
ACCAGCUUGGCGGCAGAGAGACAUGCUAGCUGUAAUCAGGUCAGUGUGGGACAAGUGGGUGGACCGCCUUAUUUUACAACCAUGGGCCCAGAAUUUCUGUUGAUGAACAGCUUAUGCCAUUUAGGGGCCGCUGCCCCUUCAGGAAGUUCCUACCAUCUAAACCCGCAAUAUAUGGAAUCAAGAUCUGGGCUGCCUGUGAUGCUGCUUCAUCAUAUGGGUUGAAAUGUCAAGUGUAUACGGAGAAGCCAGAUGGAGGAGCGCCUGAGAAGAUCCAAGGGAUGCGGAUUGUCCUGGACGUGACACAGGGACUCCGUGGGCCACAACAUCACAUGCAAUAACUUUUUUACUUUGCACAAGCUGGGACAGGAGUUCCUCAAAAGGAAGCGGACGAUGGUAGGAACAGUACAAAAAAACAAGCCAGAGCUCCCAACUCAGCUGUUGAAUACAUGGAACAGGCCUAUCAAUUCCUAUAAGUUUAUGUUCCCAGCCGUCACGUUCCGAGUGUCCUAAGUGCCAAAGAAAGGCAAAAAUGUGGUACUCUUGAGUACGCUGCAUAGGGAUUGGAGAAGCUGUGAAAAAACAGAAAUCAUAUUGGAUUACAAUGCCAGAAAAGGAGGGGUGAACAAUUUAGACAAGCUGGUGACUGGCUACAGCUGCAAAAGAAGAACCCUAUGCUGGCCACUUGCGAUAUUCUUCAACAUCUUUGACAUCUUGGUGUACAAAACGUGUUUGUCAUCUGGGUGGCGUUGAACCCAGAUUGGAACAGAGGGAAGCUCUAGGGGAGGGCUCUUUCUCGAGGAGUUGGGCAAGGCAUUGGUAAGACCUCAAAUCUAGAGGAGCCAAAAUAUCCCAAGGACCCAAGCUUCUGCAGCCAUCAUGAGGAGGAUUCAGGAGGAGGAUGCUGGUUCCCCAUCUGCCUGAUCCACAGAACCAACAACUCCAAACCGGAAAUUGCAGCCGGUAGCAACAAGAAGAAGUGUUGUGAUGAACAAGAAGACACAGUGCACAUACAUUAAGUGCAAGAAAUACAUUUGCAACACGCACACAGUAAAACUCAUGUCCCUCAUGUGUUUUGUAGACCGGCCUUCAUUUCUUUUCAAUGGGGCUCAUUUAUCAUUUCCAUAAAAUACUGUAGG